rnacentral:rRNA from 1 species
AGAGUUUGAUCCUGGCUCAGGAUGAACGCUGGCGGUCUGCUUAACACAUGCAAGUCGAACGGGCUCUUUCGGGAGCUAGUGGCGGACGGGUGAGUAACGCGUGAGAAUCUGCCAAAAGGACUGGGACAACCACUGGAAACGGUGGCUAAUACCGGAUGAGCCGCAACGUAAAAGAGGAAACUCGCCUUUUGAGGAGCUCGCGUCUGAUUAGCUAGUUGGUGAGGUAAGAGCUCACCAAGGCAUCGAUCAGUAGCUGGUCUGAGAGGAUGAUCAGCCACACUGGGACUGAGACACGGCCCAGACUCCUACGGGAGGCAGCAGUGGGGAAUUUUCCGCAAUGGGCGAAAGCCUGACGGAGCAAGACCGCGUGAGGGAGGAAGGCUCUUGGGUUGUAAACCUCUUUUGUCAGGGAAGAACACAAUGACGGUACCUGAAGAAUCAGCAUCGGCUAACUCCGUGCCAGCAGCCGCGGUAAUACGGGGGAUGCAAGCGUUAUCCGGAAUUAUUGGGCGUAAAGCGUCCGCAGGUGGCUAAUCAAGUCUGCUGUCAAAGGUUGGGGCUUAACCCCAAAAAGGCAGUGGAAACUGAGAAGCUAGAGUGCAGUAGGGGUAGAGGGAAUUCCCGGUGUAGCGGUGAAAUGCGUAGAGAUCGGGAAGAACAUCGGUGGCGAAAGCGCUCUACUGGACUGCAACUGACACUCAGGGACGAAAGCUAGGGGAGCGAAUGGGAUUAGAUACCCCAGUAGUCC